CUCUGUGACUCCUACGGGAGGCAGCAGUGGGGAAUAUUGCACAAUGGGCGCAAGCCUGAUGCAGCAACGCCGUGUGAGUGAAGAAGGUUUUCGGAUCGUAAAACUCUGUCCUAAGGGAAGAAACAAAUGACGGUACCUUAGGAGGAAGCCCCGGCUAACUACGUGCCAGCAGCCGCGGUAAUACGUAGGGGGGCAAGCGUUAUCCGGAAUCACUGGGCGUAAAGGGUGCGUAGGCGGCUUAGCAAGCCAGGGGUGAAAGGCAUUGGCUCAACCAAUGUAAGCCUUUGGAACUGUUAAGCUUGAGUGCAGGAGAGGUAAGUGGAAUUCCUAGUGUAGAGGUGAAAUUCGUAGAUAUUAGGAGGAACAACCAGUGGCGAAGGCGACUUACUGGACUGUAACUGACGCUGAUGCACGAAAGCGUGGGUAGCGAACAGGAUUAGAUACCCUGGUAG
rnacentral:rRNA from 1 species